CUGGAUUUAGCGGCGAAUGAAUAGUCAGUUGAAGUAACCUUAUUGUUUUUACUGUGGUUGUGUACGCAUAGAUAAUGAGCACCACAGACAGCACCUGCCACAGGGCACUGGGCCAGGUUAGCCUACCUGAAUCAUUGUUUAUACACUGUUGGUCGGGAACUCGGUUGUUAGUCUUCAGUAACGUUAAUGUUUUGUUAUGAACAUUUGGCCAAGCAUUAAGAAGUAUGUAGGCCUAUUUGAUACAUGCACCACUGCUACUAAAUUAAAUGUCUUCAAUUGUGUUCUGAUUGAGCUUGUGAAUGUACGCCUCGGUAAAUGUAACUUUCAGCGUGUGUAUUGAUAACAGAUAGUUCCAAAAAGGACAUCCCUCUAACUUGGCUUCCCCAAACAUUUACCCCACGCCAUUGUGUCACAGGGUUCUAGUUCAAACUACUCAAAAAUUGAGAAACACAGGGGUAGUUGAAAAAUAUUACAAUAGUGUGAUUUAUUAUGCCAGCCUCCAAAAGGUGCAAAUUAAAUAAAACUUUAAAAAUAAAGUGCAAAACGAUGAAAAGCAACAAUACAGCCUCUGCAAGAUUACAUAAUAUUAGAAAAGGGAGUUCCUUAAGAAGUCAUACAUUAUAACAAAAAAUCAAUCCAAUAGGCAAUCUGGAAGUUCCUUUCUCUGUAACAAAACCAAGACUCACUUCCCCAGUCUCUAUUAAAACCAGUAGCCCCUCCCACUAAACUUUAUAAUUACAAGAAAAUACAAUGCACACGUUUUCUUACUUAAUAAAGCAUUUACCUCUUCUUAUUGCUAAACAUGAGCAUCUAUAUAGGCUAUUUACAUACACAUUUUCCUUCAACCAGAACAAGAUAUUUGCCGCAUAAAUUAAUAUAACAAACAAGAAAUAUCAGUUCACGUGACCGUGAAAGCACGCGAGAACAUGCUAUUUAACAGAGGAAAAUGUUAGGCUCGUGUUUAGAGACGGCGGGGCGAACAUGCAAUGCACUUCAGUAAAUGAUUCCCUCGCUGGACAAGGAACUUCAAACUCUUUUCCAAAGUCCAAGGACCUUUGGCACACACACGGAUACACCUGAUGACCCAACAACAAAAAUUUUAAGUCCACUGUCUGCAUUUUAAGACGCCAGGUCUGCAUUCUUCGCUUGUGGUGUGGCUUCCUUAUAUUCAUCUCUCUCCUGUUCUCCUUCCACUUAUCACUCCCCGCCUAAUUUUCCAGUGUUUCCUCCCUCCUCUACGAUGUCCACCUAUUUCCCUUCUCCCCAACCAAGUAGCAGCCUUCCCACCUGUGGAGCGAUUAAGUGUAAUGACCACGGUGUGUGUGUGGCUCCCCCUGGUGGCGGUGUCGAUUUGGUGUGCGACUGUAAGCUGGGCUACCGGGGCGAAUCCUGCGAGGAAACGGUCAAUGGGUCAUUAAGCGUACCGCUGACCUUGAGUGUGCUGGUCGUUGUCAUCGGGCUGGUGAGCCUGGCUUUCAUCUUAGCCAAGAUAAGACGGAAGCGAAAGAAAAAGCACAGGAGACAUCUGGCAGCAAAACAUGGCUACAACGUUGUCGUGUAAUGUGGAUAAAUCUACGAUUAGAUCUGAGGUCAACCACGACAUUCUGGCCCGUGACACACUUGAGCUUCUAUCCGCGAGAGAGAGAGAGAGAAUUUUGUAAAAAGGGAAUCACAUCUUCUAUUGUUGAUGGCUGCCUCGUGGCAAAGAAUCUACGGCGGAGAUGCUGCAGCAUCCCAGAAACUGAGUGACAGUGAACUGAUGAACGGCGCUUUAACAGGGACACACCAACACUGCAGUAAUGAUAUGUAUCGUAUGUGAUUUGAUGAUGGAAAAAUUACAUUUUUAGUACAUCCCCGAACACAUGAUUCAUCAAGGGCAAAUUUGUUUGUUUGCUUUAAUAUACAUAGCGUUAUUUAUAGAAUUAAGAUGAGUGUGGCUAUCCUGUGCUAAUGACCAACAAACAAAAAAUUCAACCAUCAAUCCCAACAGUAGGUAAAUACAUUUUGGUAUUGUUGGUGCUAUCCACACACUGACUGGAUUUGUCGCUGUGCAAAAAAAAUGAACAGACAUUUAUGGACUAAAUGAGCCACUGAAGAUGAUGUUGACAGUGAGAAAUGUCAGGACCUGUCUAUACUGCCAAUCAAAAGCUACUUCCUUGAUCACAUUUCCUGCAUGGAAAAUGUUUCCAUAGAUAAGUCUCCUAACACUGGCUACAUUUAGUGAAAUAAUGCAAAUGUUUUACUAUCAGCUACUCUCUUUGACGGAGCAGUGGCUCCCUUUAAAUACAGAGAGAGCACAGGUGACUGCUAUAGUGCUAGUGAGUUGUUCUGCUGUGUUUUUUGUACUUAACACUGAAAGAGUUCAUGCAGUGUUGAAGACCAAAAGCGGAAGAGCAUCAGAUGUUGGCACCGUAGUUCAUUUCAAAUAGGGUAGGCCUGGAAUUCUAACCAGAUUUGAUUUGUCAUUACCUCGUGAUGAGGACAGGAUGCACUCUAACCAGCAUGAUGGGGUUUUAUUCAGUUGCUGUCAUAAAGAUUAAAACAUUUUUGCACUUGGUGCAAUAACAGAAAAGCAUUUCAUAUCCUUUCUCUUUUUUUCUGUCUGAAUAAAAGCAAAAGGGGUAAUUUGUUAUUAAAGGUAAUCUGCAAAUUGAGAUUUGAAAUCUGACUGAAUGGAUCCCCAUGUUUUGGGAAAAAAGCAAUAACAGACUUAAGUCUGCAAAAGCAGUUGUACAUCCAGAGUCUUUUCUCCACAUUGUGCACUUUGUUUCAUGCAUAUUAUGUCUCUUGUUAUAAAUGAGACCCAGUUCUUUCUGUAAAUAUAGAAAAAGAACACAAAGUUCUUUUUUCCACUGGAGAAAGAACUAUGUCAACCACCCGAAACUUAAAUGUCACACCUUCGCAGAUCCUGUUUUUCUUCAUUUUUUAAAUUCCUCUCCUGUUGUAUAUGUUGGCAAAGUGCAGUUUAAAACAUAAACUGAUUUUAUUGUCUUUUGGUUUGAUUGAUCUAUCUAAAUAGCUUUUGGUUUUAUAUGUAGUCGCUUUUGUUAAAAUGGCUACUGCUGGUUGGUGCUGAAUAUUUACUAGCAACUGCUGCUUUUUACUUAAGAUAAAAUAAAAAGUUUUGUUUUUUGCAUUAUGUUGUCAUUUCAUCUCUGACAAAUCUGUACAUCCCGAGACAGGUUGUUCCACAUUUGCAAAGCUAGUUCUGUACAGUCUAUUGUUGUGGGCUAUUUCAUUGGCAUGUGUACUUUUUAAUUACAAAGUCACUGUCAGUUAGUGCACACUGUUUAAUGAGUUUAGUUCACUUUUGUAAUUCUACUGUAUAUAAUGUAUAAUGUUCACUAACUUUCAAAUAAAAUGUACAAAAAGCC